rnacentral:sRNA from 1 species
GCCAGGUGUUGUGGCCCACGCCUGUAAUUCCAGCAACUUGGAGGCUGAGGCAAGAGGAUCAAAAGGCCAGCUUCAGCAGUUCAGCAGACCCUGUCUCAA